rnacentral:tRNA from 1 species
GGGUUGUGGCUCAGUGGUAGAGUGCUUGCCUAGCAUGUAUGAGGCACUGGGUUCAAUUCUCAGCAUUCA